CUGAGCCGUCACCUGAGAACAGGUGACAGGUGAGCUGCUGCUCAUCGCGUCUUCUUCCAUCAGGGUUUCACAACUGUCAACACGAAUUCAACAAAUCCCCGUUAAUUCAGCUCAAAUCUGACCUCUCGUCUCCGUUUCCUGCUAAACGUUGUCAGCAAACUCACGUCCUUGUUCAGACAUGCAGACAUGUGUGAUACCAGAAAUAACCGGCAAAGGGGACCGUGAAGACCAGGAUCUAGAUCUGUUCUGCAGAACGUGCGGUGUCGUGAUCGAACAUAAAGGAAAUCGUCUCCACUUUGAAACGUUAGAAACACAUGGAGGACGUCAGAGACGCUGAGACACAGGCUGCUGCAUACCGCUCAGCAGCAGGACAGAGUCAGCUGGUUUAAACAUGCAGGGUCGAGGUCGGGGUCCGGCCCGCCGAGUCCUGGAGGGCCUGACUGAGUCGUACAGUAACUUUGUUUUUUCUGUGUAUUUGUUACAGCGUUGUUUUGGUUUUCAUCGUGAUCUCCUGCCUCUGUUUGGCCAAAAGAUAAAUAUAAAAAAAUAGUACUUUGAUGCCACAGUGGCCCCGAUGCCCCGCCCACACUGUUUCCUUCGGUUCUUAGACACCAGAGUCUUUGGUUGAGAUUCUGAGAUUCUUAUCGGGCCGAGGUAAGAAAGUUCGAGAAAUUAGCGAACAAAGAAGACAAGAAUCUGUAGUCGGGCCAUCGGGAGCACCGGGGUCAGCUGUUAGAUCAGCGAGUUCAUCGACAACAGACGGAUGGAACAGAAAGACGUCGACCAGGACUCACCUGCACCCCCCCCCAGCUGCGAGGGAGAACGAACUCAGGACGACACAGAGACCUGAACAUGCUGUCACUCACGGCCGGUGAACAGGAACUGGUCCGGACCUGAUCAAUGACAGCUCUUCAAAGACGGCAGAUGAAAGCCGGGUCGAUGUUUCUCUCGCUGAGGGUUGGCGUGAUCGUGGCUCUGUGCUACAUUUGAUGUUCUUUCACGUGUGUUGUAGGGCUCCGUGGUGAGUUUGAGUCCAGGGCCCGUGGCCAUGAUAAUCUGUCCGUGGUGUUUAGUUCAAGGUACCAACAUCUGUCAGGACUGCUGCUGCCGGUUUUUAUGACCCGGUGGGGACCGGGCCCCUGAACGCACACUGACCUGAUGGGGACUCGUGUCACUGUGGGGACCGAGCGGCGACAUCUGUUUUUCCACUGCAGAAGAAAGUUCUUCUAGAGACGAACGAAGAACAGCGACGGUGAAGAACCACAGCAGAGAUUUCUCUGCACGGACCGACAGCGAGGUGGAACUGUUACAGAGAAGAACACGGGAGCACGGAGAGACGGUGGCGGCGGGAAACAGGCUGCGAGUCGACGCAAAGCAAAUACGGAAACAUG